AUUAAAUAGCCGCAGUAUCUUGACUGUGCGAAGGUAGCAUAAUCAUUUGUCUUUUAAUUAAAGGCUUGUAUGAAUGGUUGGAUGAGGGAAUUACUUUCUUUAUAUUAAAAGUUGAAUUUAAUUUUUAAGUUAAAAAGCUUAAAUUUUUAAGUGGGACGAGAAGACCCUAUAGAAUUUUAUUAUAAAUUUUAUAUUUAAUUUAUGGUUAUUUUUAUUAUUUAUUUGGUUUAUAAUUUUAUUGGGGUGAUAUUGAGAUUAAAAAAACUCUCAUAAUUUAAUAUUUAAUUAUUUUUAUUUUUAGGAUCCUAUUUUAUGGAUAUUUAGAUUAAAUUACCUUAGGGAUAACAGCGUAAUUUUUCUGGAGAGUUCUUAUCGAUGGAAAAGUUUGCGACCUCGAUGUUGGAUUAAAAUUAGAUUUAAGUGCAGAAGCUUAAA
rnacentral:rRNA from 1 species